GUAAACAGUAAGAAUUUUGUUGUCUCGCUUCUGUUAGUUUUGUUUAAAGUUUUUAAAGUUACACUCACUUUCAAAUUUCUUAGUAGUUAUGCAAACAGCUGGAAUUUUUUUUAUCGCUUUGUAAGUUUAGUAACCGCUACUGUUUCAUGUUUUCUUUAAAGUAUCCAGUGUUACACUCUAUUUCAAAUCUGUUAGUAGGUUUUCUAAUUUUGAUUAACUGUAUUAUCAGAGUUCCGAAACUCGUCCACCAGCAAAACGAGUCUGGGCAACCGAUGAUUUCCACAUGGCAUCAAAUUCUCCACCUAAAAAGCCUUUCCACAACACAAAUGAAGAACUAGUGACAGAGGAGCUACAGAGCAACGCAGUUCAGCACUUCUGGUGUGUCAGUGCAACUCAUUGUCAAAGUGAUGAAAGGUACACAGAAUUCUCUCGAAAUCAUCAGUGCACAUGUAAUGCCCUCACAUUCCUGGCCUACCUUAAUGAGGAACACCAGUUCAACACAGCCCGACUUGAUAAGGUGCUUGAACAGGGAGAUGCACUCUACUGUUGGAUUAAAACACAUCUUCAGCAGGAGAGGCGUUAUACGCAAAAUCAUCUGACCAUGGAGGACCUGCCCAAAGAAGUUCAUGCUGACAUAAACGUCUACAGUGUGAAAAUGGACAACAUAAGGUAUGGAUACCUGAAAGCAGCAGACAAAACUUAUCAAAGAAAAGAU
ensembl:lncRNA